UGAUCGUAGAACCUUGUCGAAUGCACUG
rnacentral:piRNA from 1 species